rnacentral:lncRNA from 1 species
UGUGGGACUUAGACCAAUGUUUAGGGUUGAGGCCCGAACCACAGCCUAGGCCGAACCUUGGGCCAUAGAUUGAGCCAGAUCUGUGGGAUGGGCCCAAGUUGCAUGGCCUCAGGCAAACAUGGAUCAGGCUAAGGCCCGAACCGCAACCUAAGCCAAACGUAGGGCUGAAGAUCAGGCCAGAUCUAUGGGACGGGCCCUAGUUGGAUGGGCUAAGGCAAACAUGGAUCGGGCUCGAUUUAAAGUUUUGGGCUCGGUUCAAACUUUUGGGCCCAUGAC